UGCGGAAGGAUCAUUGCCGAUGCCCCCCGAAAAGAACGACCCGCGGACCGGUUUACGAACACCACGGCCGUCGGGGCCGCGCGCCCGGACGGCCCAAGAACCAACCCCCGGCGCCAGUCGCGCCAAGGAAACGGAAAGAGCGCGCCGUGCGCCAACGACUCUCGGCAACGGAUAUCUCGGCUCUCGCAUCGAUGAAGAACGUAGCGAAAUGCGAUACUUGGUGUGAAUUGCAGAAUCCCGCGAACCAUCGAGUCUUUGAACGCAAGUUGCGCCCGAAGCCAGCCGGCCGAGGGCACGCCUGCCUGGGCGUCACGCAACGUCGCCCCCACCCCAACGCGGGCGGGGCGGAGGAUGGCCUCCCGCGAGCACCCGUCUCCCGGCUGGCCGAAAUAGGAGCGUGCGACGGCAACCGCCACGAUCCACGGUGGGAGGAGUGGAACUCACUCGAGACCGGCCGUGCGCGAGCUGCCGCCGAGGGACGCUGCCAGACCCACGUGCCCCGGACGCGACCCCAGGUCAGGCGGGGCCACCCGCUGAGUUUAA
rnacentral:rRNA from 1 species